UACAGAGGGUGCGAGCGUUAUUCGGAAUUACUGGGCGUAAAGCGUGCGUAGGCGGUUAUUUAAGUCGGCUGUGAAAGCCCCGGGCUCAACCUGGGAAUUGCAUUCGAGACUGAAUAGCUAGGGUACGGUAGAGGGAAGUGGAAUUUCCGGUGUAGCGGUGAAAUGCGCAGAUAUCGGGAGGAACACCAAUUGCGAAGGCAGCUUGCUGGGACGGUACUGACGCUGAGGCGCGAAAGCGUGGGGAGCAAACAGG
rnacentral:rRNA from 1 species